AACGUAGGACGCGAGCGUUAUCCGGAGUUACUGGGCGUAAAGCGCGGGCAGGCGGUCUGACAAGUCUGAUGUGAAAUCUCCGGGCUUAACCGGGAGAGGCCAUUGGAAACUGACAGGCUGGAGGGCAGUAGAGGUAGGCGGAAUUCCGGGUGGAGUGGUGAAAUGCGUAGAGAUCCGGAGGAACACCAGAGGCGAAGGCGGCCUACUGGGCUGCAACUGACGCUGAGCCGCGAAAGCCAGGGGAGCGAACGGG
rnacentral:rRNA from 1 species